rnacentral:lncRNA from 1 species
CUUUCCUCUGGAUAUUCCUGGAACAGCAUAUCACAAAUGUUUACAGGUAGUUAACCUGGUCAUUCCAGUUCAAAAUAACAAGGUUAAAAAAAAUCCAAUCUUUUGUGUAUUGAUUCUUGAAUGUUUUACUUUUUCAGGGAAGGAAAAAUGCAAUGAAAAUGCUAAAGAACCUGCUAAAUGAAAGACGGGCAAUGCAAGGGAAGAGCCGAAAUGACUUUUUUGAUUUUGUCCUUGAAGAACUUCAGAAAGAGGGAACAAUUCUAACAGAGGCAAUUGCUCUGGAUUUGAUGUUCGUUCUACUAUUUGCUAGCUUUGAAACAACUUCCCUGGCUCUAACUUUAGCAAUUAAAUUCCUUUCUGACGACCCUUCAGUGCUGAAAAAACUAAGGGUAUGUGAAAUGAUUCCUGAAUCUGCAAAAUCCGAAUCCUUUUCUAAACAAACAUGGAACUUAUGUAUUUCCACUUUGUAGGAAGAGCAUGAAGCAAUUCUACGAAACAGGGAAGACACAGACUCUGGACUUACAUGGAAAGAAUAUAAAUCAAUGACAUAUACAUUCCAGGUGAGAAAAUUUGUGAUUUAAACUUAUAAGGACAUAUUAUCAGUUGUGAAAGGUUGUUUGUUUCCAUACUGACAAGUGCAACUUACAGUUCAUCAAUGAAACAGUUAGACUAGCAAAUAUAGUGCCGGGAAUCUUCAGGAAAGCACUAAGAGAAAUCCAAUUCAAAGGUAUUAUGCAUCAAAAAUAUUUUGAGACCCACUUUCAAAUUGUUAUAUUAAAAAAAAAUUAUCUUUGCAAUAAAUAUGAAAGCUAACACACAUCAAUUUUCAUGAUAAUGCAGGAUAUACCAUUCCAGCUGGUUGGGCAGUAAUGGU